rnacentral:piRNA from 1 species
UGACUUCCUGAUUUUGCUCAGCUGA